rnacentral:tRNA from 1 species
GCCGAAGUGGCGGAAUUGGCAGACGCGCACGUUUGAGGGGCGUGUGGGGUAACCCGUGGGGGUUCGAGUCCCCCCUUCGGCACCA